UACGUAGGGUGCAAGCGUUGUCCGGAAUUAUUGGGCGUAAAGAGCUCGUAGGCGGUUUGUCGCGUCGGCUGUGAAAACCUAGGGCUCAACUCUGGGCUUGCAGCCGAUACGGGCAAACUAGAAUUCGGUAGGGGAGUCUGGAAUUCCUGGUGUAGCGGUGAAAUGCGCAGAUAUCAGGAGGAACACCGGUGGCGAAGGCGGGACUCUGGGCCGAUACUGACGCUGAGGAGCGAAAGCGUGGGGAGCAAACAGG
rnacentral:rRNA from 1 species